AGCCAUCGUAAGGCAGCCGAAGCAGCCUACUCACCGAAGUGCAUGUUCUGGUGUCAAAUCAGUCUGCAAUCCAAAAUCCAAGGCGUGGUCCUUGUGAAAAUCCAGGAAAUCCAACCAGUAAUCCAGCGAUUACCUAAUCUUUAGGUAAAAAGGCCUCGAAGGAAUGCCCAUCGCCAGCCUUGGGCCCAUGCUUGGGCAUCCAGCUGGCGCACAGCAGCAUAGGCCAGCCACCCGGACUCUGUUCCCUUGCUUGCUCGCCUGCCUGCCAGUCCCAGGCGGGGGCUCUGUUCUUUGAUCUUCUGGUAACAGCCUGACCACAACCGCAGUCGAGGAGGGCGCCAGCCAGCUAGUUUCCUUAGCUUAGGCCCUUCCCACCAGCAGCAGCUGUGCUGACCAAGCCGCAAGGUGAAAGCAGACCGUUGACACCUGUGGACCAAAGGAAGGGGCACCCCCCUCUUGGUAGGGACAUAUACAAACCUGCCUCCCUAAAAAAAAGAGGGAGAGGGAGAAUGCACAGGCGUUCAAAAGGGGCCUGCCUGCUUGCCGAGAGUCAAGAUGCGAGAGUGCACAGAGGGAGGAUGGGAACAGGGAGAGAGAGAGACAGAUGGACGAGAGAUGAGACUCAAAGAAGGAGCUCGAGUCCACCUCGCUUGCUUACUGGCUGGCUACGUCUGUCUUUCUACCUAUAAGAGAAGGUAGUACACCGUUCCUGGAGACACUGGAAUACCGGGCCGAUGCAUGAAGAGGAUGGAGCAAGCUCCUGAUCUAGAAUAUCGAUCUUCACUACCAUCAGGACCCAUCUCUCCUCUCCCCUUGUCCUCAGAAGAGUGGUCUACACGGGGUCUUUGGAGACCGGGUUCUUGCCUUGCACCUGGCCUUGGCGUAUGUCUGUUACGGAUCUAGGGGCAACUGGGAGAUCCUCUUCUACGUCUACAGAUGGCGCUGGGUCGAUGUUCUCUGGCACUCCAGACUCCUGCAGUGAUGUCCCCUCAUCCAUCAGGUAACUCUAUGCGGCAGCCCAUAAUUUGGCCAGCUGUGUUGACCUCCAAAGAACAAAAAUCCAAAGUCGAGAGUAAAAACUUCCAAAGAAGGCUUCUCACCCCUCGAUGUCCUGUCUUCCUUGUAGGCAGCCCUGGCUUCACCAAACUGGUAACUUUGCCAAACUGAAGGCUGAUGCAAAGGGGAGUUGGCAGACUUUUUCCCUGGGGGAUGAGACACUUGCAUUUGAGAUAAUUGGGAGGUUUUCCAAAAGAUGGCAAUAUGGAAAUUCAGUCUCCUGUUGCUAUUUGCAUGUCAUGUGAAUGGAUGAAAGACAUUCUCUCUUUCUCCGUGAUGAUAAAAUAUUACACAUACAGUAUAUAUAGAAUGAAAGGAAGAAAUGUGAAAAGGGAUAUAAUUCAUAAGACACAUAAGCACUCCUUAUCCAUGUUAUUGUAACCAAAUGAUUCAUAUGCAUAAGCAUAGACAAACCUGAAAAAGACUUAUUGUAUCAAGUAAAGAAUUUUAAAUGUGAGGUAUUGUGUGUUUAUGUCAGCAGGCUCAGGCUGACACUUGCAUUUGCGUCAGCCUUCAGUUUGGCAAAGUAACAGCAUGCCAGCUGAAUAUUAUAUGAUUUGACAGAACUUUUAACACCCAAUGAUUUAAAAAGGCAGCCAUUUCUAACCUCAUUUCAAUUCCUUUCCAACAGGCCACUCAUCUUUAGGCAGGAAAUAACACCUGAGCCUGCUGACAUAAAAGUAUUGUGAAUGGCUUGUAUCUAAGGCAACAAGAAUAUGGUCAUUUUGCAUUUUCUUGCUUCACAGUAGUGUUUGGUUUAAAAAAUCAUUGCUAUUGUGCUUUAUUCCACAGUUUUGUUAUACAGUCAAUUUAAUCAAAGAAUACAUUUCAUUUAGACCAUACAUUCCAUAUUAAGCCAAUGUGAGCAUUGCUAUAACAAGCAAAUUUGUCAGGAGUGAAUUAAAUCAGUGAGUCUAAUUUUUUUUUUUUGAUAUAGUAUGUUAAGGGCACUAGAAAAGUAUGUGAAUCUUGUAUUUUAAGUAACUACUAACUACCAAGUGAGCCAAAUAACCACCUCUUAUGUACAUACAAAUUUAGAAUAAAAGAUACUGAUGAACCACUGCAACGUGAGAAUACAGAACAGUAUUCACCUUUCGUCUAUUCCAUUAUUCGUUUCACAAGACUGGAAUUAAUUUUGCCAAAGUUCAUAACACUGACAAAUCAUCUAGUUUCUCACAAAAUUUUUCAGACCUUGUUUUCACAUUAUGGUACUUUAAAGCUUGCAAUCAUGGCUUUGAAGUAGCAAUUAAUAUUUGUCAUUAAACAACCUUAUGUUUAUUAAUCUUCCUUGUUAUGCACAGUGAGAAUGAUAAUGUAAUGAGAAUUAAUUGAAUCACAGAGUGCUCAUAAAUUGUGCUAGGAAGAAAACGGAUAGGUGUUUUGAAAGGUCACAUAUAAACAGGUUUUCGAUGGACAGAAUGAUAGAUUAACAUACUGUAGAGGAAAAUAGUAUUGUAUCGUUGAUAUGAGGACUUUUGAAACCAAAUUUCCCAAAUUUAAUAUGUGCUUUUCUAUAUUGGUACAGUAGGACUAAUAGGUUCUAGUAAAAACUUACAGUAUUCAGAAUUGGUAAGGGUUAGAAAUACCAUUUUAUGAUAAGGGACUCUGGUCGUUAUCCUAAACGGAAAGCAACUCAGUUCAUACUACAGUAUAUUUCGCUUUGCUUGGUAAAAUUUGCAUGGUCACUUGUUCUCAAUAUUUAUAGAUAUCCAUCAAUACCACAUCAAUCAACGCUAUUAUCAGUUCAGGGAAAGAUAUUCUGCUUGCAAUAUGCAUGAUGGUGUGGCUUUUAACAGCAAUUGUAACAGUUCUUAUCUGUUACUAAAGAGUGGAAAUAUUUUAUUGUAACAAGGAAAGGAAGUAGAUAGAUUACAUAGGUUUUUAUAUAAUACAUGCACUUAAUUUACUGUCCUCAUAUGGCUGUUUAUUUUCAUUAUGAGAGCUUGCUUUGUUGGAAUUAGCUUGCUAAUUCCAACUGAAUAAAUUAUUUUUUUCCUCAAAUUCCAUAUAUUACAAAUCUAAGCAGUUCUCAUGGCCAGAUUCAAAUUUUUCUUAAUUUAUAUGGGUAUGCAGGCACCUUUUCAAGGGCAUUUUGUGAAAUAAAAUUUGUAAUCAGUGUUCAAUAAAUGUAAUGUUAAGAUUGAGAGUUUUUGUGAAAUCCCUCAGGGACAGGACAGUGUCUUUCUGGGAUAUUGAUUAGGCAGAGCUGUAGAAGAUGCUUGUCAGCUCUCCUUAACUCAGUAAUGCUGUACCUCCAUCUGUAUUAUUCUUUCUUUUUCUACCAACCUCUUCAAGAACACAGUCAUGUUAAGUAAAAAAAAAAAUAAGAGACACUGCCUUAAACCCUAGAAAAUGACAAGUUUUAAUUUUAGUGUUUAGUUUAUAAGCUUGUUAUUUUAGUUGGUUUUGUUACAUAAUUAAUUUGGGUGUCUCCUCUUGCCAGAAAGCGUUAAAUUGCAUUUUGAGUGUGGUUUUUGACUUUUUCAAAAUUGCAGCCCAUAAAUAAAGCCAUAUGGAUGUUUUUUUAUACACGUUAUUUCACACGUUAGUUAAAGACUUCGAUGCUUAAAAUGUUUAGGAAGAAAUGGAAUACCGGUGUGUAUUUGUUCUUUAAAGUACCGAGACCAGCCAUAUACAGUUAACAUACUGUAAUACUGUAUGUUUAUGUUCCAAAAUUAAUAUCGUUUAUGGCCUUCACACAUGUUAUGCUCCUAUUUGUUUUAUGUUUAGCUACUAAAAUUUCCCUUCAGUGGUAAAAUUCCAUUUAAAUAUUCAAUACUUAAACGGGCACGGUAAAGACAUGCUUGUUGACUCCGGUAUCACGUUAGUUAAAGACUU
ensembl:lincRNA